UACAGAGGUCUCAAGCGUUGUUCGGAUUCAUUGGGCGUAAAGGGUGCGUAGGCGGCGCGGUAAGUCGGGUGUGAAAUCUCGGGGGCUUAACUCCGAAACUGCAUUCGAUACUGCCGUGCUUGAGGACUGGAGAGGAGACUGGAAUUCACGGUGUAGCAGUGAAAUGCGUAGAUAUCGUGAGGAAGACCAGUGGCGAAGGCGGGUCUCUGGACAGUUCCUGACGCUGAGGCGCGAAGGCCAGGGGGAGCAAACGGG
rnacentral:rRNA from 1 species